GAUCAUGGCUCAGGACGAACGCUGGCGGCGCGCCUAACACGUGCAAGUCGAACGGAGUUUACAGACGGAAGUUUUCGGAUGGAAGCUUGUAAACUUAGUGGCGGACGGGUGAGUAACACGUGAGCAACCUGCCUAUCAGAGGGGGAUAACGAUUGGAAACGAUCGCUAAUACCGCAUGACAUAGCGGAAUCACAUGGUUCUGUUAUCAAAGAUUUUAUCGCUGAUAGAUGGGCUCGCG
rnacentral:rRNA from 1 species